GAGUAACACGUGGGUGAUCUGCCCUGUACUUCGGGAUAAGCCUGGGAAACUGGGUCUAAUACCGGAUAUGACCUUACAUCGCAUGGUGUUUGGUGGAAAGAUUUAUCGGUACAGGAUGGGCCCGCGGCCUAUCAUCUUGUUGGUGGGGUAAUGGCCUACCAAGGCGACGACGGGUAGCCGGCCUGAGAGGGCGACCGGCCACACUGGGACUGAGACACGGCCCAGACUCCUACGGGAGGCAGCAGUGGGGAAUAUUGCACAAUGGGCGAAAGCCUGAUGCAGCGACGCCGCGUGAGGGAUGACGGCCUUCGGGUUGUAAACCUCUUUCGACAGGGACGAAGCGCAAGUGACGGUACCUGUAGAAGAAGCACCGGCCAACUACGUGC
rnacentral:rRNA from 1 species